rnacentral:lncRNA from 1 species
GUUGAUAUACAUGUUUUUUUCCUUACAUUUCUAGGAUUCCACUAUUGUGACUCCAAUUAUUUUGAGGACUGACCCUCAGGGAUUUUUCUUUUACUGGACAGAUCAAAAUAAGGGGCAGGAGUCCCAGCUCGGCCUGAAUGUUUCAGAGGCUGCCGCCUUAGGCCCCGACGUCCCUGUGGAGCUGUGCCUUGUUGGCCUCAGGUACCAACCCAGCAAGCCUGAGCAGUGAAAACCAUGUUACCUGAAAAAGCGUCUGCAUCGCGGUGUUGGAAGAACAGGUAAAGAAGACAGAACUGACCAAAACCUAAACUGCUAGAAUCUUCCACAAAGUAGACCUUUGCCUUGCAACUUGAUGCCCCUCUUUGGUGCCAAAGGUGGUGUAAAAAUAA